UCGGUAACGUCAGGAGUGGAACAUCUGUGACCGCGCGCUUUGUUGCUGCCCGGACCAGACUGCAGACGCACCGUUGCUAUUGGUUUCAACGGAAGCUCCAGACGCUCUGCGGCUAAAGGCUAACCAUGCUAACGUCAGCAGGGCUGAAACACGGUGAAAUGUCACAGCUUAUUUCUGAUGUUUUCAGCUUCGGCGUGUAUUGACGUUGACGUCAUCGUCGCGGGGAGCUCGUGCUGUGACCUGAUCCCUGAUGAGCUAACUGAGGCUAAGAACUAGCAGCGGGAUUAGCCGGAGGCUGCGGCUUCAGCAUUCUGAGCAGGAGCUGUUAGCCGCUCGGCCAGCGGAGCUCAGCCCGGGAUGAGGCGCUGCAGCCGGUGGGGACGACAGCAGGAGGGCGGCCAAGCUGAUGGAGGUGUGAGGUUAUGACGGGGUCAGACUUUGUCCUGAGACAGUCCAAUCUGGACCAAGUCGCACUGGUCCUUGGAGCGCCGACGCCAUGUCAGACAUGUCUGAUCCAGCUGUCGUAGAGGGACAGGCUCCUCACUGUUCUGCUCGGCCCCCCCUGGCAGAGAAGGCGCUGUCCGAGGUCUUCGGGCGGCUGCGGUAUCGCGACACGUCACUGCUCAUCUGGCAGCAGCAGCAGCUGGAAGCAGCACCGCCCUCCACCUACCUGAGCCGCAGCCAAUCAGCCUGGUACAGUAACUAUGGCAACCAGGCAGUCCUGGUCCGAGACAGGAGGGGUGCGGACGAGGGGCGGUCCCGGAUCUGCAGCAUCAUGUGACGCAGAGCAGUUCAGUUUGGUCACUAACAAACAUUUUGUUUUUAAUUUAGAGAACUGUCCAAUCAGAGAGAAGCAUUAAGAUCCCCGCCCCUCUCUCACCCACUGACUGCAGACAAGAAUAAAACGAACAGUAUUAAUUGUCAGCUUGGCGAGCUCCAGCGUCAGCUCUGAUGACCAGUUUAAUGGACUUCCUGCCCUACAGGGGGCGUCCCGUGUCAGUAUCUAACCCUAGUGUCCUCCAUUUUGAUUUGGGGAAUGAAGCCAGCAGCACCACACUGAAACCAUCACCUUCAUCCAGCAUGCCACCAAAAGACAUUGUCCUGUUUGAAACCCUUAAGUGACCAAUCAGCACGCAGUUACAGCACACUGGUGCUUUCUGGGUAAAAUCAUUGUCACUGAGAGAAAUUGAAGGUAACGAGUCUUCAGACGUGUUACUGAUUUAUGGAAACGACGAAUAAAAUGUUUUCUUGUUUUA